rnacentral:misc_RNA from 1 species
UGGUUCUGGCAUCGAUGAAGAACGCAGCGAAAUGCGAUAAGUAAUGUGAAUUGCAGAAUUCAGUGAACCAUCGAAUCUUUGAACGCGCAUUGCGCCCAUCAGUAUUCUGGUGGGCAUGCCUGUUCGAGCGUCAUUUCAACCCUUAAGCCUCCGUUGCUUAGUGUUGGGGGCCUACAGCGCCUGCUGUAGCCCCUCGAAGUCAGUGGCGGGGUCGGUCACAUACUCCAGGCGUAGUAGAUUUCUCAUCUCGCCUACGGGUCGGACUGGCUCCUUGCCGUAAAACAAAACCCCUUCCCUCCUUUUGUUAGGGGGAUGGGAUAGCAAAGGUUGACCUCGGAUCAGGUAGGAAUACCCGCUGA